CAGCAGCAGAAGCAAGCCCACCGUGCUCUUUUCCCCACUGAGGCCCAGUGUGCAAUGGCUGAAAAUAGCAGCCUCCUUGGUCAUGUACACAGACUGAUGCCUGUACCGGUUUCCAAAGGACCUUGGAGACAACC
ensembl:snoRNA SNORA70 Small nucleolar RNA SNORA70